rnacentral:lncRNA from 1 species
AUCCCGGGAUCGGCUCCGCCGUAGCACGAUAUUGUCCGCUUUGGGCCCCCUUCUCUGCCCGCACAGUUUUGUUUCUGGGAGCUCACGAGCAACUUCCCAGUGGGUCACCCAUCCUGGGAUUGCUCUAGCCCCCAACUCGCUUAACUUCGGAGUUCCUACGACUCCGAAGCCAGUGAGCUCCCAAAAGGCCUCGUGCUAGAUGGAUACGGGUGUGCACAUAUAAGGCACAUCACCCCCUC